UGUAGCUCAUUAUCUCUUUCUUUAAAAUCAUAAGACUCAUUUCCCCAUAAAUAUUUCAACAUCCAGGAAAAUGUGGCGGGAAGCUAGAAUCACAGCAUGCAUUCAAAGCUACUUUCACAAACCCAUCUCACACUGGAAUUGUCCUGAAGCCUGACCCAGCUAUUAAGGGAGCAUCAUCUUACACAAGCUAGGCAGAGGAGAGGACAGCUAGACACCUUGUUCCUGCAGAUGUCCAGUGUAACUGGUCUGCCUUAAUCAUAGUCUGUUUCACAGAGAUGGAGUGUAUACCUCAUUCCUCUCCCUACAUCUGGGCAGCAGAAGUGAAGCCAAGCAUGUGCCUGUUGCUGCAGGUGGAAGCAUUGUCUUUGUUGUUCCUGCCAUUUUGUUGCCAUAGAACUGUAGCAAUCAGAGGAAUACACGAGACUAUGGGGAGGAGUUGAGAUGUAUAACAUAAAGCAGAGAGGUGGAGAGAGAGGAGGUUGAGUUGCCUUUCAAUGGCGAGCCUGGAGAAAGUGGCUGAAGAGGGACACAACAUGAACCAAUACAGUGAGCAAAACAUGAAAAGGAUACAGAAGGAAGACUUAAAGAAGAUUCAAAAAAUCCCUGAAAUCCCUACCAGCUUAGUGGAUUUUGGAUCAAUUCCUGCAUGAGCAGGAGGGGGCAGGUAGGCUGACCAGAGCACAUGGCACCAUGCCAUAAAAGUGAUUACAGAAACAGUAAUAGGCAAUAUAAUGGUCUGCAUCACAUGAUGACAGCUGGUUAUCAGAUUUCAAGCUGGAUGAGAAAGGAGUGCUAGCUGAGCACUGGCUCGGAUUGGCUCCGUGGGAGCUCCUGGCCUUGUAGGGCCAGGGUGGAAAAGGCCACAUCGUCACCCUGCCUCUCAGCAGAGGAGGCCCCGCAGGGUGGGCUGACAAACUUCCCCUCUGCCACCUCUGGCAAGAGGUGGGACAGAAGAAAAACCUGAUGGUCUGCCGCUUGCUGGGGAGGCCAUCCACCCAUCCAAGUGAAUCUUAAUGGGGGAUAGCCUCUCAAGGACAAGCAAGAGUUUCCCAAGGUCUGGAAGAGAAGAUACAUGAACUGCUUUACUUGUUGGCACAAAACUAUGAACAGGAAUUGCAGAGGAUGUGGCAGGAGGAAGCAGUGUGGUGGCAAUCGAUGUAGCAGUUGGAUUCCUGCAAAUUCGGUCCACUGCAUGGAGAAUAAUCUGUCAGAGUGACUCUGGAAAGCUGUUUAAGCUGUUAUUCAUUAAGCAUCAUUAUUCAUUGUGCAUCAUUUUACUAGGUAAGUCCAUGCUCUCUUUUCCACAUUGCAAAGUUCUUUCAUGCCAGGAUUUAGCUCUUAUGGGAUCUUAAU
rnacentral:lncRNA from 1 species